rnacentral:rRNA from 1 species
CUACGUGCCAGCAGCCGCGGUAAUACGUAGGUCCCGAGCGUUGUCCGGAUUUAUUGGGCGUAAAGCGAGCGCAGGCGGUCAAUUAAGUCUGAUGUGAGAGCCCCCGGCUCAACCGGGGAGGGUCAUUGGAAACUGGUUGACUUGAGUGCAGAAGAGGAGAGUGGAAUUCCAUGUGUAGCGGUGAAAUGCGUAGAUAUAUGGAGGAACACCAGUGGCGAAGGCGACUCUCUGGUCUGUAACUGACGCUGAGGCUCGAAAGCGUGGGUAGCAAACAGGAUUAGAUACCCUGGUAGUCCACGCCGUAAACGAUGAGUGCUAGGUGUUAGACCCUUUCCGGGGUUUAGUGCCGCAGCUAACGCAUUAAGCACUCCGCCUGGGGAGUACGACCGCAAGGUUGAAACUCAAAGGAAUUGACGGGGGCCCGCACAAGCGGUGGAGCAUGUGGUUUAAUUCGAAGCAACGCGAAGAACCUUACCAGGUCUUGACAUCCCUCUGACCGCUCUAGAGAUAGAGUUUUC